rnacentral:lncRNA from 1 species
CUGAAAGGCUGAGUGGUGGGAACCAAGAAGCAAGUGCUCACCCUCUAGAAGUCUUUGCUGGUGCAGACCAAAUGGCGGGUUCUGGAGAAGAUUGACCUUAAGUUCAUAGACACCACCUCCAAGUUUGGCCAUGGCUGCUUCCAGACCAUAGAAGAGAAGAAAGCGUUCAUGGAACCACUCAAGAAAGAUCGAACUGCAAAAGAAGAAUGAGCUUAA